rnacentral:rRNA from 1 species
UACGUAGGGGGCAAGCGUUGUCCGGAUUUAUUGGGCGUAAAGAGCGUGUAGGCGGCUUGGUAGGUCCGCUGUGAAAACUCGAGGCUCAACCUCGAGAUGUCGGCGGAAACCACUUGGCUAGAGUCCGGAAGAGGAGAGUGGAAUUCCCGGUGUAGCGGUGAAAUGCGUAGAGAUCGGGAGGAACAUCAGUGGCGAAGGCGGCCAUCUGGGACAACACUGACGCUGAAGCACGAAAGCGUGGGGAGCAAACAGG